rnacentral:rRNA from 1 species
UACGAAGGGGGCUAGCGUUGCUCGGAAUCACUGGGCGUAAAGCGCACGUAGGCGGAUUGUUAAGUCAGGGGUGAAAUCCUGGAGCUCAACUCCAGAACUGCCUUUGAUACUGGCGAUCUUGAGUCCGGGAGAGGUGAGUGGAACUGCGAGUGUAGAGGUGAAAUUCGUAGAUAUUCGCAAGAACACCAGUGGCGAAGGCGGCUCACUGGCCCGGUACUGACGCUGAGGUGCGAAAAGCGUGGGGAGCAAACAGG